rnacentral:rRNA from 1 species
AUUGAACGCUGGCGGCAUGCCUUACACAUGCAAGUCGAACGGCAGCACGGGUGCUUGCACCUGGUGGCGAGUGGCGAACGGGUGAGUAAUACAUCGGAACGUACCUUAUCGUGGGGGAUAACGCAGCGAAAGCUGUGCUAAUACCGCAUACGCCCUGAGGGGGAAAGCGGGGGAUCGCAAGACCUCGCGCGAUUAGAGCGGCCGAUGCCUGAUUAGCUUGUUGGUGGGGUAAAAGCCCACCAAGGCGACGAUCAGUAGCUGGUCUGAGAGGACGAUCAGCCACACUGGGACGGAGACACGGCCAAGACUCCUACGGGAGGCAGCAGUGGGGAAUUUUGGACAAUGGGGGCAACCCUGAUCGAGCAAUGCCGCGUGAGUGAAGAAGGCCUUCGGGUUGUAAAGCUCUUUUGUCAGGGAAGAAACACCGGCUCUAACACAGUCCGGGAAUGACGGUACCUGAAGAAUAAGCACCGGCUAACUACGUGCCAGCCGCCGCGGUAA